AAGCUUGUAGCCUGCCUUCCGCUUUGGGAUGACUCCCAUUUUUAGGGAGGAGACAUGAGCAUCUCUUUAUAUACGUAUCUCUGGCUAACGUUAGCGAUCUUGUGCAUACCGCGCUUAAGGCUAGAUUAGAUAUAUGUAUUCAUAUUGUUUUUGCAAACGUUCUAAACAAGCAGGCCAUACAAGUGAAAUAAUGUUCAGCAACUUAACUACUACUAUAGUUCUCACCCGGGCAUUUACGAAAGUGUCAAAAGUAUCAAAUAUGUCUGACACAUGGAAACACAAAAGUUCUAGCUUGCAAAAUGUGUUUUACAGGCAAUGCAGCUCCGAGGGAGACUACAAGUGAAGACUAUCAUCUAGGAUGCACUAGCGCGUCCUUAUCGAAUUAUUAGGCGCAUAUUGAAGAUGUUAAAAGUAUGGAAGGCCAAGAGUUUCAAAUUGUCCUAUGGGCAUUUUUACACGUGUUCAUUACACCUGUUCAGUGUGCAUUUACAGGUGAUUAGAAUGUUUGAAUAUUGUACUUCCACUCAUGAAAUUCUGCCAUUGCACACUUUCUGGGCGCCUGUGUAGUAACGGGUACAUUUCAUACGUCUGAAAUUACCACAUAGUAGCCUGUCCCACCUCAAUUUCAGAGAACAUGCUAGCUCCCUGCAGAAUCUAGACCAUAGAGAAUGGGGAAUAAGAUCUGGCUGUUGCAGUGCCCAGACAAGGAAUCUCCGAAUGCUAUGUUGAAUGAGCACCAUGGAUUAAGGAAGGGGAGGAAAACAGACAGCUUCUUUCUACCACAUCUUCACCAAGUCAUACAAUGUUUGCUUCAUGAACAAUUCUUACAUCUGAAAUAAAUACAGAAUCAUUUUAGUUUAUUCUGUUCCUAAUGCUGGAUGUGAGUAAUUUAGCAGGUCUAUAGUAUGUAUUGUUUUGAAACGUUUAUUUAAUAUCUAUUCAGUCAACUAAUUUAUUUUAUGUUUGCUAAAAGAAUGUAUGUUUUGUACUGUUACUUUUUACAUGCUGAAACAGUCUCAUUAGUUUUGAGCUAGGCUAUGAUUGGGGAAAUGUCUACUGUAAAUGUUUAUUUCCCUUAAUGAGAACUUGGACAAUGUCAGGGAAUAAGUAGGAUAAAUGGACAUCCUAUCAAUGACAAAAUAAACUGCAGAGGUAGCCUUAAAAGAUAACAUUAGAUCUGUGCAUGUUAUUACUGGACAGACGGCUAGCCAGAGCAGUGACCACAUUUUCACAUGGAUGUAUAUACAAAAUGCAACAUGUAAAGUGUUGGUCUCAUGCACUGAAAUAAAAGAUCCCAGACAUUUUCCAUAGGCACAAGAGGCUUAUUUAUCUCAAAUGUUGUGCACCCUGGUCCUUCCUCCGCUGCC
ensembl:lncRNA